GUUAGGAAUAUUCGUCAAUGGGGGAAACCCUGAACGAGCAAUGCCGCGUGAGUGAUGACGGUCCUUUGGAUUGUAAAACUCUUUUAUUAGGGACGAACGACUAGUAUAGGAAAUGAUACUAGAGUGACGGUACCUUUUGAAUAAGCCCCGGCUAACUACGUGCCAGCAGCCGCGGUAAUACGUAGGGGGCGAGCGUUAUCCGGAUUUAUUGGGUGUAAAGCGUGUGUAGGCGGUUUUUUAAGUCUAAGGUUUAAGCCCGGAGCUCAACUCCGGUACGCCUUAGAAACUGAUUUACUUGAGUGUGGUAGAGGCAAAUGGAAUUUCUAGUGUAGCGGUAGAAUGCGUAGAUAUUAGAAGGAACACCGGUGGCGAAGGCGAUUUGCUGGGCCAUUACUGACGCUGAGACACGAAAGCGUGGGGAGCAAAUAGGA
rnacentral:rRNA from 1 species